AGGAAAGGACAUAAUAGUAGUUUCUCGAACCACCCAAAGCGCAUUCAUUUCUCAUGCUGUCCUCUUCGUUCAGAAUCAAAAGCUUUCGUCACUUAUCAAAUCUCCGGCCACAGAUCCGUUACGUUACCGUCUAUUAUCAAAUCUCCGAUCACAAAUCCGUUAGUUUUCCGUUUCUUAUCCAGUCUCUGGCCACCAGAUCCGUUCGGUUUUCUAUAUUUAUUAAAUCUCCGAUCACCAGAUCGGUUAGGUUUUCGAUUAAAUUGCCGGCGGCUACCAGAUCUGUUAGUUUCCGAUAUGGAAGACGAUGAAGAAACUCACAUCAAUCCGUCGGAUCCGGAUCUGGAUCUGAAGAUUCGCAGCGAUUUAAUCCACGGAUCUCCGUCACGUUGCCGUCCGCCGUACCGCUGCAGAUGACGUUGACCUUAGUGCUACCGGUUCGGAGAUAAAAAGCAGUUAAUCAAGGACUUACCGGAAGGUUUCUCUAGACGUCCAGGUAAAUCACCAGUGCGAGGUUGAAAGAGUCAAGUCGGGCCUUGGUAUGUUUAAGGAUCGAACAUAUGUUUAUAACCCACUUUUGAUGUAUAAAUUAUGGGUUAUCUAAAUAAGUUGUUCUGAUGUAAAGUUACUCAACUUAUCAAAUAAAUAUAUAGUGUGAAAUUUUAAGAUGGUUGUUUUAUCA